rnacentral:rRNA from 1 species
UCUCUGAUGUUAGCGGCGGACGGGUGAGUAACACGUGGAUAACCUACCUAUAAGACUGGGAUAACUUCGGGAAACCGGAGCUAAUACCGGAUAAUAUUUUGAACCGCAUGGUUCAAAAGUGAAAGACGGUCUUGCUGUCACUUAUAGAUGGAUCCGCGCUGCAUUAGCUAGUUGGUAAGGUAACGGCUUACCAAGGCAACGAUGCAUAGCCGACCUGAGAGGGUGAUCGGCCACACUGGAACUGAGACACGGUCCAGACUCCUACGGGAGGCAGCAGUAGGGAAUCUUCCGCAAUGGGCGAAAGCCUGACGGAGCAACGCCGCGUGAGUGAUGAAGGUCUUCGGAUCGUAAAACUCUGUUAUUAGGGAAGAACAUAUGUGUAAGUAACUGUGCACAUCUUGACGGUACCUAAUCAGAAAGCCACGGCUAACUACGUGCCAGCAGCCGCGGUAAUACGUAGGUGGCAAGCGUUAUCCGGAAUUAUUGGGCGUAAAGCGCGCGUAGGCGGUUUUUUAAGUCUGAUGUGAAAGCCCACGGCUCAACCGUGGAGGGUCAUUGGAAACUGGAAAACUUGAGUGCAGAAGAGGAAAGUGGAAUUCCAUGUGUAGCGGUGAAAUGCGCAGAGAUAUGGAGGAACACCAGUGGCGAAGGCGACUUUCUGGUCUGUAACUGACGCUGAUGUGCAGAAAGCGUGGGGAUCAAACAGGAUUAGAUAUCCUGGUAGUCCACGCCGUAAACGAUGAGUGCUAAGUGUUAGGGGGUUUCCGCCCCUUAGUGCUGCAGCUAACG